rnacentral:rRNA from 1 species
UGAGGAAUAUUGGUCAAUGGGCGAGAGCCUGAACCAGCCAAGUCGCGUGAAGGAAGAAGGUUCUAUGGAUUGUAAACUUCUUUUGUAAGGGAAUAAAAAGAGUUACGUGUAACUUAUUGUAUGUACUUUACGAAUAAGGAUCAGCUAACUCCGUGCCAGCAGCCGCGGUAAUACGGAGGAUCCAAGCGUUAUCCGGAUUUAUUGGGUUUAAAGGGUGCGUAGGCGGACCCGUUAGUCAGUGGUGAAAGUUUGCAGCUCGACUGUAAAAUUGCCAUUGAAACUGCGGGUCUUGAGUGUAAAUGAGGUAGGCGGAAUGUGUUGUGUAGCGGUGAAAUGCUUAGAUAUAACACAGAACACCAAUUGCGAAGGCAGCUUACUGGGAUACAACUGACGCUGAGGCACGAAAGCGUGGGGAUCAAACA